rnacentral:lncRNA from 1 species
UUGGAGACGGCACCACUGCACUAUUGGACUACGGCAAGCUGAUGCCGUCUGGUGGAGCUUCGUACGGGAACUACUGCUGCUUACCUGGCGCACAACGUUGGAUGAAUUCACAAAAAGCCCGGAACGACCCUUUACAUAGAGCAAAAUAAACAUUACCUCAUUUCA